rnacentral:lncRNA from 1 species
GAAGAAGAAAGUGAACAAUUAACCCUUAUCUUUUAAUUUGACACGGUGUCAUUUUAGUUUUCUUUAAGUUUUCCUUACUCUUUACAUGUGGCUUAGUAAGUGCCACUAUUUUCGCCCAUAAAGAAACAAGGAACCAAAAAAACACUAUGUCAUACAAUCCUGAUAGCACUUUAAUUGAAAGAAAAUGGUACUAAUCGACAAAAUCAGAAGAAAAAAAAAAGAAAAUGAUACUAUUGUUGCAGUCCUAUUAGAAUAGGAAUGUGAUUGUGUAAAUCCUAGUAUUUCUUGGAAUAUCUCUUAUAUUCCUAUUAGGAGUUGAUUACCUAUUAACUGUUGUAAUCCUAAAGAGAAAGGUUUUUACCUAUCCUACUACUAUAAAUAAAAACACAAUAGGGUGGAAUAACACACACCUACAAUUACACAUCUCUCUCUUCUUCUCUACUAUUGCACCACCUUUCUCUCUCUAUGGCCUCCAUAAUUGUUCAGUAAAUUAUGCCUACAACACGUUAUCAGCACGCUCUUAACGCUACGCUAAAGAGAGUUUAUUCUUCAAUCAGGGGAGUAUUACGUUUUAAUCAUUAUUUUUAUGAUUAAUUUAUUAUUUUGAAUUGAUCUACAUGUUAUUGAUUCAAUUUCAUUUUUCUAUGUUGAACGUGAUACAGCGCAUUGGAGAUGUAAUUCCGACUUUAUGCGAUACAAAUUCAAAGGCUUUUGAUGUUUUCUGUCAAUCAAGUACGCUUAAAAUAAAGUAAGAUAUUUGAAAUGACCUUGAAGCAUGAAAACAUUCCCAUGACGCAUGAACCCCAUAUGUUUAUAUUUUCAUUCCAAUAUAUAUAUUGUAUAUGUUCAUAUAUUUGUUUCAUACAUUACGCAAUUUUUGUUAUGUGGAAUUUGUGAGUCAAAGAAUCGAAAUAAAUUAGAAGCAAUUUAGGGUUUUUUCAAACCUUAGAUUCGAAAAAAAA